CCCAGAUCGUUUACCGUGAAAAAAUUAGAGUGUUCAAAGCAGGCAGAUCCAAUUUUCUGCCACCGAAUACAUUAGCAUGGGAUAAUGGAAUAGGACCCUGUCCUCCUAUUUUCAGUUGGUUUUGGCAGCGCGAGGACUAGGGUAAUGAUUAAUAGGGAUAGUUGGGGGCAUUAAUAUUUAAUUGUCAGAGGUGAAAUUCUUGGAUUUAUGAAAGAUUAACUUCUGCGCAACCCUCGACAGGGGAAUGUUUUCAUUAAUCAAGAACGAAAGUUAGGGGAUCGAAGACGAUCAGAUACCGUCGUAGUUUUAACCAUUAACGAUGCCGACCAGCGAUUAGGAGACGUUGAAUACAAAACACCACCAUCGGUUGCGGUCGUCCUUGGCGUCUCGGUUUCGGCCGGGGCGCGGGGAUGGCUUAGCCCGGUGGCACCGGUGAAUGACUCCCUAGCAGCUUGUGAGAA
rnacentral:rRNA from 1 species